ACAUAUCGAACUUGACUGCCAUCUUGUUCGGGACAAAAUUCAAGAGGAAUGCAUAACCAUUGAACAUGUCAACAGCAGCUCACAGGUGGUAAAUUUACUGACCAAGGCUUUGUGUUCUAAUAGUUUGUACUCUCAUCUGCUCAAGAUGGGUGAUAAAUGUAUUUUAUAUACUUAUUUAAUUCAUUAAACUAUAGCAAUUUUUGUUAUUUAGGAUGAAUUGAUACUUAACUUCAUACAUAUUGUGUUUGUUAGGUGUCCCUCGAGGUAAAACAAUGAGAUUGGACACAAGAACGGGAAAUUUGCUAACUUGGGCUUAAUCAAAAGUUUGGGGACUAAAUCGCAAAGUACCAAGAGUUGAUUCAGAUCUAAUGUUGAUGAUUUAAGAAGAGCUAGAGGCAAUUAAAUAGUAUUGGAGGAUGAAUGAUCAAGAAUAUGUCAAUAUAUACCAAAAGGAACGAAGAAUGAACUAUAGGGAUCAAAGUGCAACACAUGGAAAAAUUUCAUAGUGGCGCGGGUACGCAGGCCAAUACUCUCUCACGCAUGCACGGGCUUGAAUUUCAUAUGCAGAACAUAGAAGUGAUAUGCAGCACGCACACAAGGAAGUAUACCGCCCGCAAGUGCAUAUUUGAAAAAAAAAAUAUGGUAGAUUCCUUUUUUGGCACAAACUCUUAUGGAAAUAAAAUCCAUCAUACUAUUUAACCUGGGGGGAUGAACAGAACGACGCUUCUUCUUCUAGAGGGCAAAAAGAGGAUUGCAAGGAGAAAAUUUCAAGAGGCAAAGAUCAACAAAAGCAAUUACAAGAAGAUUGACGAUGAUUGGG
rnacentral:lncRNA from 1 species